CCCUUAGAUGCUCUGGGCCGCACGCGCGCUACACUGGUCGAUGCAACGAGUUUCUUUCCUUGGCCGACAGGCCUGGGCAAUCUUUGAACAUCGAUCGUGAUCGGGAUAGAUUCUUGUAAUUUUUGAUCUUAAACGAGGAAUUCCUAGUAAACGCAAGUCAUCAGCUUGCAUUGAUUACGUCCCUGCCCUUUGUACACACCGCCCGUCGCACCUACCGAUUGAAUGGUCCGGUGAAAUCUCCGGACUGGCGUGAGUCGGAGCACUCUGACAAACACCGGAAAGUUGAUUAAACCUUACCAUUUAGAGGAAGGUGAANUCGUANCA
rnacentral:rRNA from 1 species